UCUCUUAUUUCAAAACGUGGUAAAGCUCUAAACUUGUUGUCUUAAGCAUGAUGUUCGAACAAAGGCAGAGGGUGUGCUUGUGUUAUAUUGAUUGUGAUUCUUAAGUUGUGGUGCCUCUAUAUGAUGAUAUGUAAAAUUUGAUUGGGAGAAGGGGUGGAGGUGGAGUACCUCUUGAAGCAGUUGCUUGAUUUUCAGCUUUUAAAACUUGGACUCUCUCACUUACUCCUUGAUUCCUUGCUAUGGGGAGUGGGAGUUGCUCUUGCUGCCACUGGUGUUGAUACUCCAAGCUCUCAAAAUUUUCUCUAACUUUGCUGAAUAUUUGUGAUGUAUGGGGAGGGAGUCUAACGGUGGGGUUGAGGGGGGGUUUUAUAGGCUGAUUUUGUAUCUUAGGAGAAUUAAUUGAAAGCUGAUUCCCCCCUUGUCCUCAUGUUGAAACCUAUCUCACGUUUGUGAUUUAGUAGUACUCUACACUAAAUGCACUUUGGUCUUUAGUUAGAGAUUACAAGUCCCCUCAAAACUGACUUUGGUUGAUUGUGUGACUAGGAAAGCUGGUGCGCAGGGGCUGUUUUGGAGGAGCAAAAAUGGCAGCUUUGACUUGUCUCUUUUGGUUUUGUAGGUGAGAAAGGAAGGUGUGGCUGUUGUGUUGUUCUCGGGCUAGGCUCGCUCCCCUUGGCCCGAUGGACUGCUCAAAGACGGGCUAUAGUUCGGGCCUGGAGAAGAGGCCCGAAGUGCAUCAAAAAUUUAUCUUUUCUUUUCUUUGUUUUCUUUAUUUGAAGCCUUGUUCCAUGUAUUAUUAUUAUUUUUUUUUUUUUGAAGUUAGUAGUUCGUUUAUUGUAUAUGAAACGCUAUUCGAAUUUCUUUACUUGGGAAAAGACUUCUUGUCCUUCUUAUUUCA